UACGAGAGGCCCAAACGUUAUUCGGAUUUACUGGGCUUAAAGAGUUCGUAGGCGGCGCAGAAAGUAGGGUGUGAAAGCCCUCGGCUCAACCGAGGAAUUGCGCUCUAAACUACUGUGCUCGAGGGACCUAGAGGUGAGCAGAACUGAUGGUGGAGCGGUGAAAUACGUUGAUAUCAUCAGGAAUACCGGAGGCGAAGGCGCUCACUGGGGGUUUUCUGACGCUGAGGAACGAAAGCCAGGGGAGCGAACGGGG
rnacentral:rRNA from 1 species